rnacentral:rRNA from 1 species
CUGUUCCCAUUCCGAACACAGAAGUUAAGCUCUUUAGCGCCGAUGGUACUUGGUGGGAAGCUGCCUGGGAGAGUAGGACGUAGCCACGU